AAAGUGAUAUAUUAUUUUCCCAAAUCGGUGACUUACCUGAAGAUGUUUUCACAAAUUUUUGACUUACCUGAAACUCUAGCUGGUAGAUGAAGAAACUGUUUUUCCCGAUAUGAUCUUUGCCGACGGAGAAGAUCUCUUUUUUUUUUUGUUAUAAAGCAUCUUCUUUGAUCUUUUUCAUUCUAAUAUUUUUAUUCCAAUUAUUUUUUUGGAUUUUUUGAAUGGUAUGAAUCUCUGUUUGUUAUAGGGAAUCAUAUCAGAUUUCCACCGGCUCUGUUUGUUUCUCUUGAACAUAUUAAUAACUGACUGUGCUUGUGCAGAGAAGAUGAACGGAAGUUGCGUGAUGAUCCAUGUUAUUGUCCUCAAUUUUUUUU
rnacentral:lncRNA from 1 species